UAGAAUGCAUAUGUAAAAACAUUUCAUUUUUAUUGAAACAAUAUUCUGCAGAAAUAUGGCAAUUUCUGUGCGAUUUUUCAGUCUUAUUUGUAUAGCAGCUCAGUGAUGUACAUUCUAAUUUGCUGUAGAAAGAGGCACAUACAUUUAAAUUGAGAUUGGAGAAAGUUUAAAAUUCUUGUGACAUAGGUUUAAAAGUUUAUGCAGUCUUUCGGGUACACCUUGUAACACAAAAUGUUACUCAAAGGAAGAUUCUUCAUAAGUUAACCAAGGGUCUAUGGACAAAUCAAGUCCUUUAACAAAGUUAUCAGACAUUUUGCCUUUCCAUUUCUUAAAAGGGCGACACUUUUUUUUUUCCUUUUAAAUAGUCAAGGAGUGACCGUAAGCAUGUUUUUCCAAAUUAGUACAAUUUGCCUACACGACACAUCUGUGCUUUCUUUCCGUCACACACACCAACUUGGCAUAUAGAGGCAUAGGGCAAAAUCGAGAAGAGCAUGCAUUCUUAAUUGUAUAUAAAUGUGAAAAGUAGGUGUGGUAUAGAAAUGCUAAGAAUUAUCGAAAAAUUAGUUUAGUUUCUAAUGUUAUGUGCCAUUUUACUUAUAAAGAGUAAUUUAUAUGCAGAUGCUCAGUAUGAUUUUUAAUAUUUCUGAUUCAUUGACGUUUCCCCUUUAGUUCGGUAUAUUGCAUGCUAUAAUGCUUACUUUGAUCUAAUGAAAACUUAAAUGACCUAACAAAAAAAAAUAAAAAAAAAAAUAUCGAAACCCUCUUACUUCCAUGCAUUUAGUGACAUAUUGUCCAGUGCCAGUUUGUAUCACAAAACUGAUAUUUGAGACCCUUACAAAAAAAAUAAAAAAUAAAUAUGUUGUGG